CUUGUAGAGAAUUAAAGAAAUUGAAAAAUAAUGAAAGGUUGUUGUUUUCGAUUCAGCAUGCUAAACGGGCCAAACAUAAAAUUUAUUACCUUUGAUACAUUAAAUAAUGAAUCUAAUUUUUGGAAGUUUUCUUGAAGACCUAUAAGUACAAAAAAACAUUUAUUGAAACAAAUACACAAAACAUUGCAUAGCAUUUUUAAAACAAAUAAAUUUUUAUCCGUGGCAAAUUUAGGGGAUAAAAUAUGACUAAAAUUAUGAAGUUUGUUUAUUUAUUGAUCCAUUUUAUUUUCCUAUUUCUGGUUCUAUCUGACGUUAGAGCAUGGGAACCAUGGCCACCAGAUUGCAACAAGGAUUCGGAUUGUCCAACCAAUUUCUGUCUAUCUCCUUGGGUUGCAAAAUGCGUUUACUAUAAAUGUAAUUGUUUUUCAUAAGAUAUCAACUUAAUUGAAAGGGGAAAAAAAUUUAUAGAGACAACUGUAAAAGUUUUAUUUAAGUUGUCGAUAUUAAUAAUAGGGUUAAAUAAGUUUUUGAUUCCUAUAAAUAUGCAGUUUCAUUUUUAGUCUCUCUCUACCUUUAAACAACGGUUUUAGCUAGUUUUGACAACGUUUUUUUUAUAAAAACCAUUGCCUAAAGGUAGGGAGGGACUAAAAAUAAAAACUGCAAUAUUUAUAGGACCAAAAACUUAUUUAACCUUUAAUAAUAAUUUCAACAUCUAUAAUUUAUUAUUGUCGACGACAGAUUGAAAGUAAUUUUUAAAUUUAUAUUUUGUAUAUACUUCUAAUUAUUGCAUAGUAUUGUUAUUUA